CCCUGGGAGGAGACGUGGAUUC
rnacentral:miRNA from 1 species